rnacentral:lncRNA from 1 species
AGAGUAUGUAUCAAGGCGAAAAUCAAGAAAUACCAGUAUCCUUCUUACCUCAUCUGGUUUACGACUAGUCUCUCGAACCUCAGCAACAAUUACAUCAGUAUCAAUGUUCCUGUUUAGUUCUGGAUUACCCUUUAUCCCAACAAGGCAAUGCUCUUUGCUGUGGUUCAGCCAAUGACCAGUGCGGCCAGUUCUAAUAAUUCUCUGAAGCUGAUUAGUUUUCACCCAAAUGAGCUCCUCGACGCGUUUAUAUCCCCAAAGUUCUAAGCUGAUGAAAUAAUACUACACAUAAUAAGAUAACUUUUGGAAUACAGAAGGAACGAUUUCAAAACUUAUAGUAUCAAGUGCCAAACACAAAAAGAGAAAAAGCUUUGGGAUUCAAUUUAGAAGACUUUUUAUACCAAUCACGUCCAAGUUCCAUAGCACGUCCAGUGACCCAAAGGAAUAUUAAACCAUCUGUCUGCAGAGCAGGCACGUUAAGAUUCUUCAUUUCCUCAUCAGCCAUUGUUCCAUAAGGAAGUUCCAUAUGAAUGUCCCAAGGUGGAUCAGCCAUAAUAAUUCCAAACUGCCCUAAGAUGUCCAUCCUAAAUGAACGAAUAUCACAGUUUAUCCAUUGUGGCUCACCAAGCUCUACCUCUGAACAGUACUCAGCACGUUGAGAUUUUAUCAUAGUGGUAGGAGCAGCUCCACCCCCCAUCAUCGUAGGUGGCACAUCUUGGGUUGGAUCAAGUUCAUAAUGAACAAACUUGCACGUCUGACAAUAAAAACAUGAAUUAAUCAUAAUAAAACCGGUUCAUCAUGUAUGUAAAGCUACACACUUUUUUUUAUUGACGACGUGGAUAUAAAGAUUAUCACCUUCAUGUGACGACAAGUAUCAAGAAACGAGCAAUCCCCUAAACCAACGUCAGUGUGUUGUGCGAUUAUCCGUCGAAAAUGAACCUAACAACACAAGAUGUGUCCAUCAAAGCAGUGUCAUGUAUCAAACAAUCCUUAAACCGAAUAGCAUAACAGAUAUACAAUACAUUAAAGAGAGAUUAGCAUCAGUGUGCUAAACAAACUACAUGCCAAACAGACACAAGACACCAAAAAAAAACUUCAAUGCUAUAUUAAAAGAGGAAAAAUAAGAAGCAACAUCAUACUAACCUUCCCACAUGCAACAUAUGAACCAGAUUGUCGCCGACAAUCUUCCUUUGUUACAGCUGUACAAUAUUCCUUUACUUGGGAACCUCCUUUGCUUUUGAACUAAAACACAAAUGAAACAAAUACUUAAUUAUAUUAACCUGUACAGUUGGGAGAAAGAGGGAAACACCAUGAACAUAAUGACAUUUCAAGUUAAGACAAGUGCAAAGGCAAGUAAAUAAAAAGUACAAGUUGUCUCUUUUUUAAUAGGCUAAAAUAAAACUAUAAUUAAAUUCUUUGAAAAAAAAAAGAGUUGAAAUAUUUCCAUGCACCGUGGGUGCUAAUCUCAACAGGACUUAAACCUCAUAACACCAAGAUCAUUUAGGGCCCAUACGGCAACCAACGCAAAAUCAGGAAGGAAUUUCCGAANNNNNNNNNNNNNNNNNNNNNNNNNNNNNNNNNNNNNNNNNNNNNNNNNNNNNNNNNNNNNNNNNNNNNNNNNNNNNNNNNNNNNNNNNNNNNNNNNNNNUGUAUCAAGGCGAAAUCAAGAAAUACCAGUAUCCUUCUUACCUCAUCUGGUUUACGACUAGUCUCUCGAACCUCAGCAACAAUUACAUCAGUAUCAAUGUUCCUGUUUAGUUCUGGAUUACCCUUUAUCCCAACAAGGCAAUGCUCUUUGCUGUGGUUCAGCCAAUGACCAGUGCGGCCAGUUCUAAUAAUUCUCUGAAGCUGAUUAGUUUUCACCCAAAUGAGCUCCUCGACGCGUUUAUAUCCCCAAAGUUCUAAGCUGAUGAAAUAAUACUACACAUAAUAAGAUAACUUUUGGAAUACAGAAGGAACGAUUUCAAAACUUAUAGUAUCAAGUGCCAAACACAAAAAGAGAAAAAGCUUUGGGAUUCAAUUUAGAAGACUUUUUAUACCAAUCACGUCCAAGUUCCAUAGCACGUCCAGUGACCCAAAGGAAUAUUAAACCAUCUGUCUGCAGAGCAGGCACGUUAAGAUUCUUCAUUUCCUCAUCAGCCAUUGUUCCAUAAGGAAGUUCCAUAUGAAUGUCCCAAGGUGGAUCAGCCAUAAUAAUUCCAAACUGCCCUAAGAUGUCCAUCCUAAAUGAACGAAUAUCACAGUUUAUCCAUUGUGGCUCACCAAGCUCUACCUCUGAACAGUACUCAGCACGUUGAGAUUUUAUCAUAGUGGUAGGAGCAGCUCCACCCCCCAUCAUCGUAGGUGGCACAUCUUGGGUUGGAUCAAGUUCAUAAUGAACAAACUUGCACGUCUGACAAUAAAAACAUGAAUUAAUCAUAAUAAAACCGGUUCAUCAUGUAUGUAAAGCUACACACUUUUUUUUAUUGACGACGU